UAAUUGAAGAGUUUGAUCAUGGCUCAGAUUGAACGCUGGCGGCAGGCCUAACACAUGCAAGUCGAGCGGUAGCACAGAGGAACUUGUUCCUUGGGUGGCGAGCGGCGGACGGGUGAGUAAUGCCUGGGAAAUUGCCCGGUAGAGGGGGAUAACCAUUGGAAACGAUGGCUAAUACCGCAUAACCUCG
rnacentral:rRNA from 1 species